rnacentral:rRNA from 1 species
GACGAACGCUGGCGGCGCGCCUAACACAUGCAAGUCGAACGGAGCUUAGAGAGCUUGCUUUUUAAGCUUAGUGGCGAACGGGUGAGUAACGCGUGAGUAACCUGCCCUAGAGUGGGGGACAACAGUUGGAAACGACUGCUAAUACCGAAUAAGAGGUACGUAAAAAUAUCAUUGAAAGGAGCCUUUAAAGCUUCACUUAAAGAUGGGCCUGCGGCGUAUUAACUAGUUGGUGAGGUAAUGGCUCACCAAGGUAACGAUGCGUAGCCGAACUGAGAGGUUGAACGGCCACACUGGGACUGAGACACGGCCCAAACUCCUACGGGAGGCAGCAGUGGGGAAUAUUGCACAAUGGGGGAAACCCUGAUGCAGCGACGCCGCGUGAGCGAUGAAGUAUUUCGGUAUGUAAAGCUCUAUCAGCAGGGAAGAAAAAAUGACGGUACCUGACUAAGAAGCACCGGCUAAAUACGUG